rnacentral:rRNA from 1 species
AACGAACGCUGGCGGCAGGCUUAACACAUGCAAGUCGAACGGGCAUAGCAAUAUGUCAGUGGCAGACGGGUGAGUAACACGUGGGAACCUUCCUAGAGGUACGGAACAACGCAGGGAAACUUGUGCUAAUACCGUAUACGCUCGAGAGAGGAAAGAUUUAUCGCCUUUAGACGGGCCCGCGUAGGAUUAGGUAGUUGGUGAGGUAACGGCUCACCAAGCCUACGAUCCUUAGCUGAUCUGAGAGGAUGAUCAGACAAACUGGGACUGAGACACGGCCCAGACUCCUACGGGAGGCAGCAGUGGGGAAUCUUGGACAAUGGGCGCAAGCCUGAUCCAGCCAUGCCGCGUGAGUGAAGAAGGCCUUCGGGUUGUAAAGCUCUUUUACCAGGGACGAUAAUGACGGUACCUGGAGAAUAAGCCCCGGCUAACUUCGUGCCAGCCGCCGCAGUAA